rnacentral:rRNA from 1 species
ACGUACACUCCUGCGGGAGGCAGCAGUGGGGAAUUUUGGACAAUGGGCGAAAGCCUGAUCCAGCCAUGCCGCGUGCAGGAUGAAGGCCUUCGGGUUGUAAACUGCUUUUGUACGGAACGAAACGGCCUUUUCUAAUAAAGAGGGCUAAUGACGGUACCGUAAGAAUAAGCACCGGCUAACUACGUGCCAGCAGCCGCGGUAAUACGUAGGGUGCAAGCGUUAAUCGGAAUUACUGGGCGUAAAGCGUGCGCAGGCGGUUAUGUAAGACAGUUGUGAAAUCCCCGGGCUCAACCUGGGAACUGCAUCUGUGACUGCAUAGCUAGAGUACGGUAGAGGGGGAUGGAAUUCCGCGUGUAGCAGUGAAAUGCGUAGAUAUGCGGAGGAACACCGAUGGCGAAGGCAAUCCCCUGGACCUGUACUGACGCUCAUGCACGAAAGCGUGGGGAGCAAACAGGAUUAGAUACCCGUGUAGUCCCA